ACUUGUUGACAUUUUGUUAGUGUCAGGCUCAUCUCGAAUAAACUGACCCGACCCAAGUUAUAUUCGGAUCCAAAUAAUUUUGACACGAAGGAAUCAAAUAGGAUAUUUUUUGGUACAUGGAAAUGGAAUGGAAUCAAAUAGGAUAAACCCGUCAAAAUAUGACGCGAGAACAGGCGUAGAAACUUUACGAUGUUUUUGUCCGCACCCGAUCAUCAAGGGACCAUAAGCAAUCCAAAAACAAAGCCUCUAUCUUGUUUCUCCUACCUCAAAGCACUAUGGAUCUCUCAUAAAUAAUAUUCUCUACCAACCAAAAUAACCAAACACAAUCAAUAAUGAUGAUAAUCGACCCUCCCAUCGCCGUCAGAUUCCACGCCGCCGCCGCCUUUCGCUCCGCCGCAGCACCACCACCUCGUACUCUCUCUCUCACUCACUUCUCUAUUUUUUUUCUUCCAUUUCUUUCGCUGACUCAGCUUAGUUUCGAUUCUGACUUACCGAAUGUGAUGUUGUGAGAAGUUACAGUGGCUGUUUAGAAACAAAAAAACGGCGG
rnacentral:lncRNA from 1 species